GAUCCGCCAUCUACCGCCGCCUCAAAACCCUAGGCUUCACCGACCUCCUCGUCGCCUCCCACUCGGUGCUCGACCUCACCCGCCAGUCCGACGUCGAGUCCUUCUUUCUCCUCGUCAGAUUGACGAACGCUUCAUUUGGGUUCAGAGCGGAAGUUGGAUUCUCUUACCUGAGAUUAGGACAUUGACACUUGUACUCUCACCAGCAAGAGGCCGACCGUUUCCGGGGGCUUUUACCGUUAGGGGGGAGGGAACCAUCUGCGUCAGGGCGAUAGGCGGGUUCUCAAUCUUCUAGGGCAGUGAUUACACGACUGUUCCCGUCAGGCCUGAUUUUUCUUAUCUCUCAUUUAUUUUUAAUUUCGGAUUUAUUUCAUGCUAUAAUCUUAAUUAUUUGAUUUAAUUUCCAACAUAUUAAACCAUCAUUUUGGAAUAUGAGCAUGUUUUGAUUAAUGCAUUUAGUCCUUGUCCAAGGCAUUUCCAUUAAACUUCAGAACUUAGGAUUUUGUUUCUAAAUAUACUUACAUUUAGACUGUUCCCCAUGCUUCUCCGAAUUUUGCAUCAUCAGGAAAAAGUAUUCCUUAAAAAAGUAUUUUACUAUAAAAGGGAUGCAAACUUCGAUUGCUGAAAAAUAUUUGCUGCAAAUUUAGGAACAUAAGUAUGAGGAUCGACUCAUAUAUUCUACUAUAAAUAUUUAGGCCUGACUUUUCUUAUAAUUUUUUAAAGAACAAAAAAUUCCUAUAGCAUUGUGAUGUAUCUCCCCAUUUCAUGAAUAAGGUUUUAAUGAAACACCUCCGUCUAAAUAAGAAUCCCCCCCCCACCCCACCCCACCCCCACACACACAUUUCAUUUUGUUCGAUAGUUGUUGAUUUCACUACGUUAUGUGUUUCAAUAAGAAUCCUUUGAAUCUGUUAUUAAUUUGAUUAAUGAUCUCGUCAUUUAGUUGUUGAUUUGAGGCCUGGAGGGGUUUGUAAUUUGCUUCAGGUUACUGAUUUGAAGGAUUCAGUUGGCGUUUCGAAGAAGGAGCUGAGGGAUACCAUGAAGUAAGCUCUUCAAACUCUACAGGAUAAUUAUCCCGAGUUUGUUUCGAGAAAUGUGGUAGCUCAUGAGCUCGCUCAUAGCUGGACGGGAAACCUUAUUACAAACAAGACUAAUGAGCAUUUCUGGUAUUUUGGCGAAUGUAAAAGUUUGUAAAUAAUUUAUGUAAAAGUUUGUAAACAAUUUAUAUAUCUCUCUAGUAUUUUGGUGAAUGUAUUAUUUGAAUAUAAUUGGAUUUGAUAUU